ensembl:lncRNA
CUUUCCGUUCACCUUCACACUCCUGGGCCAGACUACACUCAAUCAUAUGACCCACUGAAGAGAUGAGUCUUAAGACUUAAAGGUUGAAACCGAGUUUGCGUCUCUCACAUGGGUAGGCAGACCAUUCCAUAACAAUUGAGCUCUAUAGGAGAAAGCCCUGCCUCCAGCUGUUUGCUUAGAAAUUCUAGGGACAAUUAGGAGGCCUGUGUCUUGUGACCGUAGCGUACAUGUAGGUAUGUACGGCAGGACCAAAUCAGAGAGAUAGGUAGGAGCAAGCCCAUGUAAUGCUUUGUAGGUUAGCAGUAAAACCUUGAAAUCAGCCCUUGCCUUGACAGGAAGCCAGUGUAGCGAGGCUAGCACUGGAGUAAUAUGAUACAUUUUUUUGGUUCUAGUCAGGAUUAUAGCAGCCGUAUUUAGCACUAACUGAAGUUUAUUUAGUGCUUUAUCCAGGUAGCCGGAAAGUAGAGCAUUGCUGUAGUCUAAAUUAGAACUAACAAAAGCAUGGAUGAAUUUUUCUGCAUCAUUUUUGGACAGAACAUUUCUGAUUUUUGCAAUGUUACGUAGACAGAAAAAAGCUGUCCUUUGAAACAGUCUUGAUAUGUUCGUCAAAAGAGAGAUCAGGGUCCAGAGUAACGCCGAGGUCCUUCACAGUUUUAUUUGAGAUGACUGUACAACCGUUAAGAUUAAUUGUCAGAUUCAACAGAAGAUCUCUUUGUUUCUUGGGACCUAGAACAAGCAUCUCUGUUUUGUCCGAGUUUAAAAGUAGAAAGUUUGCAGCCAUCCACUUCCUUAUGUCUGAAACACAGGCUUCUAGCGAGGGCAAUUUUGGGGCUUCACCAUGUUUAAUUGAAAUGCACAGCUGUGUGUCAUCCGCAUAGCAGUGAAAAUUAACAUUAUGUUUUCGAAUGACAUCCCCAAGAGGUAAAAUAUAUAGUGAAAACAAUAGUGGCCCUAAAAUGGAACCUUGAGGAACACCGAAAUUUACAGUUGAUUUGUCAGAGGACAAACCAUUCACAGAGACAAACUGAUAUCUUUCCGACAGAUAAGAUCUAAACCAGGCCAGAACUUGUCCGUGUAGACCAAUUUGGGUUUCCAAUCUCUCCAAAAGAAUGUGGUGAUCAAUGGUAUCAAAAGCAGCACUAAGGUCUAGGAGCACGAGGACAGAUGCAGAGCCUCGGUCUGAUGCCAUUAAAAGGUCAUUUACCACCUUCACAAGUGCAGUCUCAGUGCUAUGAUGGGGUCUAAAACCAGACUGAAGCAUUUCGUAUACAUUGUUUGUCUUCAGGAAGGCAGUGAGUUGCUGCGCAACAGCCUUUUCUAAAAUUUUUGAGAGGAAUGGAAGAUUCGAUUUAGGCUGAUAGUUUUUUAUAUUUUCUGGGUCAAGGUUUGGCUUUUUCAAGAGAGGCUUAAUUACUGCCACUUUUGGUGAGUUUGGUACACAUCCGGUGGAUAGAGAGCCGUUUAUUAUGUUCAACAUAGGAGGGCCAAGCACAGGAAGCAGCUCUUUCAGUAAUUUAGUUGGAAUAGGGUCCAGUAUGCAGCUUGAAGGUUUAGAGGCCAUGAUUAUUUUCAUCAUUGUGUCAAGA